rnacentral:rRNA from 1 species
UGGGGAAUAUUGCACAAUGGGCGCAAGCCUGAUGCAGCAACGCCGCGUGAGGGAUGAAGGCCUUCGGGUUGUAAACCUCUUUUAGCAGGGAAGAAGCGAAAGUGACGGUACCUGCAGAAAAAGCACCGGCUAACUACGUGCCAGCAGCCGCGGUAAUACGUAGGGUGCAAGCGUUGUCCGGAAUUAUUGGGCGUAAAGAGCUCGUAGGCGGUUUGUCACGUCUGCUGUGAAAAUCCAAGGCUCAACCUUGGACUUGCAGUGGGUACGGGCAGGCUAGAGUGCGGUAGGGGAGAUGGGAAUUCCUGGUGUAGCGGUGGAAUGCGCAGAUAUCAGGAGGAACACCAAUGGCGAAGGCACAUCUCUGGGCCGUAACUGACGCUGAGGAGCGAAAGCGUGGGGAGCGAACAGGAUUAGAUACCCCGCGUAGUC